UACAGAGGGUGCAAGCGUUGUUCGGAAUUAUUGGGCGUAAAGAGCUCGUAGGCGGCUUGUCGCGUCGACUGUGAAAUCCCGCGGCUCAACCGCGGGUCUGCAGUCGAUACGGGCAGGCUAGAGUUCGGUAGGGGAGACUGGAAUUCCUGGUGUAGCGGUGAAAUGCGCAGAUAUCAGGAGGAACACCGGUGGCGAAGGCGGGUCUCUGGGCCGAUACUGACGCUGAGGAGCGAAAGCGUGGGGAGCGAACAGG
rnacentral:rRNA from 1 species